rnacentral:rRNA from 1 species
UACGGAGGGGGCUAGCGUUGUUCGGAAUUACUGGGCGUAAAGCGCACGUAGGCGGCUUUGUAAGUUAGAGGUGAAAGCCUGGUGCUCAACACCAGAACUGCCUUUAAGACUGCAUCGCUUGAAUCAUGGAGAGGCGGGUGGAAUUCCGAGUGUAGAGGUGAAAUUCGUAGAUAUUCGGAAGAACACCGGUGGCGAAGGCGGCCCGCUGGACAUGUAUUGACGCUGAGGUGCGAAAGCGUGGGGAGCAAACAGG